rnacentral:rRNA from 1 species
UACGUAGGGGCUAGCGUUGUCCGGAAUCAUUGGGCGUAAAGCGCGCGUAGGCUGUCAGUUAAGUCUGGUGUGAAAGUCAAAGGCUCAACCUUUGAAUGCCGCUGGAAACUGGCUGACUUGAGUCCGGGAAGGGGCGAGUGGAAUUCCUGGUGUAGCGGGUGAAAAUGCGCAGAUAUCAGGAGGAACACCAAUGGCGAAGGCAGCUCGCUGGA